rnacentral:lncRNA from 1 species
CACUGCAUAAUGUUAAUUCAGAUUUUUAAAGCUUUCUUGUAGUUAUUUAUUUCUAUUCAGUGUAUGUAUUAGAGAAUGAUUAAUGUCUCAAGAACAGCAAGCUAUGAACUUUUGAAUGUACAAUUAUCUUAGAUUUGAAGGGGAAAAUUAUGUAUUACAAUCAUGAAAAAAAGUGAAUAUCUACCUUAAAGAGUUGAGUCUUAUCCUCCAUACCCCAAACUUAAAAUCUCUUGAUAUAAAUUGCUGUAAGUGCUUUUGGGAAAACUUUGCAACGUUUUGAUAAGACUGCUUUUCAAGUUAUUGAUGAUUCUGUAAUAUUCUAUUUACAUUGCUUUUUCUCCUUACUGUGAAUUAGCACAGUAUUGGCUUCCUUAAGACUAAUUAACUACUUUUCUCUAGAUCUACCUAAUAGCUCAUUAAGUUGUUAUUAAGCUAAUUGAAAACAUGUAAGAGGCGAUUGCAUAGACAGUUUUUUAAAUGACUAUUAUAUAAACUUUUAAAAGUAUAGUAUGAAAAUGAUCCUGGAAUGCAGUGGAAAGCAGAAGCAAAUGGCCCCAAAUAACAUACUUGGAAAUAAUUUACAUCAACUUAAGCUGUUAGUUCAUUCUAUCGCUUUUAUUAUGUGACCCUUCCCAGCAUCCCUAAGCAAUGCCUUUGGCGCUUCAGAGUAGAGGAUGCUUCCUACUGUGUUGGCUUUGCUGAGAUGUUAGCAUAAGACUGGGAUCAGAAUCAGGAAAUGAUCCAGUUAGUUUAUCUGAAAAAGCCUGCAGUGCUAUAAAUAUCAGUACAAGGCGAGGCAUGGUUGCAGUCCUGGGUGCUGGAUUUUACAAACUGCAUUGGCCCUGGAGAGAAGGACCCUUGGCAUUGCUUUGGUCAGCUAGCGAGGGGAAGAAGGGGUGCUGGGGUAGGAGUGUGUUUAUAUAUAAUUUAGGUUUUGUUUGUACAGCAUUCUGCGUCUUGUUAUGACACGUCCUUGUCCUGCUUUGCUUUUGAGUUUUUUUACACAACAUGCAGAGGCACUGAAGUGGCCACGUCAUUUUCACGUGUUGAGAAUGUAGACAGUGUUUCAGUACCAAAGUCUAAAAAAAGCAAGCAAACUAAAAUUGUGAAUUUUUUAUAGGUGUUAUAUUUGGAUUUUUCUCAACUUUGAAACUGUUUAGCACAGUUCCGUUGUGUUAUAUAAGAAGAUGCUUUAUCCAAUAAGACUGGCUGAGCAUUGACAAGCUUUAUGUACCAUCUGACUUAACCAGCCAUAUUCAGGCAGGAGGGCUGUUCUGUGGCUCUAGGUAUUUGGGGGCCUGCAGUGAACUUGUAGAGCCACUAGAUUUUGAGGAGUGUUCGUAGAGAGACUUGGAAGAGACCCUGAAAUGUAUUUGUAGAUUUGCUUCUCCUUGUGGUGGAAGACCCCCACAGGAUGUUUCCUUUGAGUGGCCAUCCCUUCCCACCCACUGCAUAAUUCAGCAGAAACUAGAGGAGCUGGGAGUGUAACUGUUUUGAAUUGAAACUGUUCUCUCUACCUAUCAGCUAACUGGUUAGCAGCCAAGCGGUUAGGCAGCUUAGUGUAACAGCUUACACAGUUAACCCUUCAUUUCUCUAUGAGGUCAGAGGGAACCUCUUGGUUAACCCUGUUGGAAUUGAUCUAAAGGAUGUGAUGGUUUGAUUCAGGUAUAGUUAAACAAGCAGGGGGCUAAUCCAGCUGUAUUAAUGGUUAGCUGUAAACUGGAAACAAUAGUCACAUCCUCUCAUCAGCGUGUGAUGUCUAAGGUGGGAAUUCAGGAUGGAAAGUGCAAUUUUAAGCUUCACAGAAAAGCAUUUGGGUAUGUAAGGUGUUAUUUCUGACCAGAGCCCUAAUUUUGCAAUAUGACCAAAACCAAGGAAUAUAAAGAACAAUCAGGCUCUGGGGGAAUAAUAGGCUUUAGACAAUCUGUUCAUUUCUGCAUCAAAAUUGGAAUGAAUGUAUAUAUCUUCUUAAAAGUUGAUAGAAGUGACUUCUACUUUCUGUCCAAUAUAAUUGUCUUAAAAAUAUUUUUUUAAUUUGAAACCCUGUUUCAAACCAUGCCAACCUUAGUUCAGAACCUAAGAGAUCAUUCUUAGAAUUGUUGGUAAUUUGUUAAAAUGGCAAAUCCAUUCAUUUGUAUUAAAAAGAAAAUAUCCAAAAAGAGGGAGGGAUCCCUGUUGCCUUGAGAGAAACAGCCUUGGCAUUUUCCGGCUACAUUAUUAAUGUAGAAAUAAUGUUCCUAUUAUAACAUAUUUUCAAAGAAACACUUUCUUAUUUACUGCGUGGUGUAAAAUGUUGCUAAGUUUGUUCUUACAUUACUAUGUCACUGCUGAAAGUUAUUUGCACUAUAAUAAAGGAAUUUUCUACAAAACA